CACACACACAUACACGUAGAGCUUCCUCAGGACAUGCAGUGCUAUUUGUGAAUCAACAGAGAAGCACUCUGGCGGGUAGAUACUUUUACUAUCCUCACUUUAUCAGUGAAGAAACUGAGGCGAGGGUUAUUGAAUAACUUGCCAAAGUCCUACAGCUGGAAGGGACGAUGGCUAUUCCGGGUCACCAGUUUUGACUGAAACCAAAAACAACAUGACAAACACAUGUGAUCAUGAAGAAAUGUUAAGACCAAGUAGGUUUCUAUAGAAAAGGAACUUCGAAAAAUUUCCACUUACAGAAGGGUAAUAUUUCCAAAUACAUCAGCGAUGAAUUCAUCAUCUUGCACAACUAUCCAGCCACACAGGUUAACAUUAAAGUAUUCUGUGGCUUCAGAUACAAUGUUUCCUACUAUUUCUGAUUUUUUUUUAAGGUUUCAAAGUAUUUGAGGAUUCAGACUAUGUCUCUUCAAAUAGCACAGGCUGACGGGCAUUCCAUCCAGUCAUUUCUGCUCUUACCUAAGGAAACCAGCAGAACUUGGUUUUAUUGCACAAUAGUAGAAGCCAAAUGUAGCCACAAACCCAGAGACCGAUUCUUCUGGUACAGUUGGCCCUCCCUAGGCAUGGGUUCUGUGUUCUUAGAUUCAACCAACCGCAAAUCAAAAAUAUUCAGGGGGAAAAAAAGAAUUCCCGAAAGUUCUAAAAAGCACAAUUUGAAUUUGUUCCCUGCAGACAACAAUUUACAUGGCUUUUACAUGGUAUUAGGUAUUACAACUAAUUACAGAUGAUUUAAAGUUUAAGGGAGGAUGUGUUGGGUUAUAUAUGGAAACAUUUUGUCAUUUUAUAGAAGGGACUUGAGCAUUUGCAGAUACCCUGGGGUUAGUCCCCCCCUCAGAAUCCAAGGGGUGACUGUACUUCUGAAUCUUUGAAUUAAUCAUAAUAGAACAGGAGAGAAGAGGGCAGGGCACAACCUUUAACGAAUGACAGAGCCAUUGAGGACAAGACAUAAACUGGUUGGAACCAAGUAGGUCCAAGUUGGGGGAUGGCAGGACUUCCAGUGGACUCAAGUCUCACUGUACCCUCACUGUAAUAUAUUAGCAUAGGCUACAUGACACACCUACAGGUGCCAGGACAGCUCCAAGACCAACCAUAAAAGACCAAAAAGUGGGCAGUGACCCUAUUCCUGGAAAUCUCCAGCCCUUUUCCAAAUGGUUGGAAUAAUCCUCCCAUGCAUUAGCUCUGAAGUUACCCAGCCCAUGAAAACCAACCACCCCAGAUUUGGGGGCCACUCUCUUGCCUUUGGAAACAGAGCACAUUCUGUCUAUGGAACGUGUACCUCCCAGGCUGCUCUCACCUUCUGAGAUGAUCCACACUCUCUCUCUCACUAAAUCCACUUCUUACCUAUCAUGUUGCCUUUCACUGAAUUCCUUCUGCUCUGAGACAUAAAGAAUCUGAACUUCAGUAAGUCCUGGCAUUUCAAUUAAAAGAGAGUGGGUUCAAGUCCUAAUCCGAGUUGUAGGGUUUCCAUAAGAAGUCCUCAAAAACAAAAACAAAGCCCCCACCUAAGAGAAUGGCGAAAUUCAAAAAGAGGAGGGGCUUGUUUUUAAUCCUUAAAUAGCUGAGUCCCUUCAAAAUUAAGAAGUCACUGUUUCCCCCAGACAGUCGGCCAACAGAAAGAAGGACAUGUCCUUGGACCUAUCUUUCUGUGGCUGUCACAGCUGAGACAAAGCUGUGGGCCCUGCUGAGGAAGUGCAGCAGGGCUCUGGCACUGGCUGUGCCCUGCACGUGCAGCACCCCCCUUCAGAGAGCCAAGGUCUCUGUUUCCUUCCAGCAGGAACCAUAGAUGCUUCGUAGGAAAAUACAGGAAUUCGAUGCACAUGAAGCAAAAUACAACUAGCUCAGGGAGAGGGGGAGAGUUUUCCUGAAAUCCAUGAGUUUCCCUGGUUUCACAUGACACCGUGUAGGGUUUAUAAUUCACGUACCACAGGAGGCUGAACAUUGUCAUUUCCUGCCCCCUCCAAUGGUGGUUUUCCAGUGAGGAGAACAUUGUGACUAACCAGUGCUGUUUUUUUUUUUUUUACUCUGAGUCUUCAUGUUUGUGAAACAAAGCUGGCUUAUACUUGCAGGGGGAGGGGCUGAGGAGGUGGGCUGCAGAGAAGCAACCUGGAGCUGGUCUUAUUAUCAAUCAUCUCCGCCGGUUGUGAGAGUUUUGACAAGAAAAACCUACCCACACAGACGGGCACUGCUGUGCAUUUACAGCAUGUUAAUUAGAGCAUUUAUGAGACAUCAUCUAACGUUCUAUCAGAUGAGUCUUUCAAUAUAAAUAUUCAGACCGACUGAGAUUGUUUGAACUUUGUAACAUCCGAACUUGAUUAUGAAACAGGCAAGAGAGACUAUGCAUAUUUUCACUGGUUCACUUAGUCUUUCAUAUGUUGAAGGGUGUAUGCGUGUGCUUGUGUGUGUGUGUGUUAGGGGUGGAAUUUUCAAAUCUGGAGCUUCUAUGUAACAUGUAUUUGCUGUGGUGCUUGCAUGACGCUGAUGUUCAGCAGAGGUCGGCUAAGCGAACCUGUAGUUUGCUCGGGUUUCAUCACCAGUGAUUUCUUCUCUUGGGUAUGGUGGUUGUAAAACACUGCUGUGCGUGAAGGCCACGUGGGCCCUCACUCAGCCCUUCAGGAAGGCCGCCUGUGAUCCGAGGAACCUGCUGUUUGAGGUGCAGUCAGCUGUCGGAGGAAAUGGCUCUCAGGGACGGUCAGUGAACAGGCAGCUUCCAGAGCUAAGAAGCCCAGUCCUGAGGAGGGAGGGCCCACACUCUCAGGAAGGUAAUAUCAUGUCACCAGAGGCAACCUUGAGCCCCUCGCACCGAGUGGAUGCAGGCAGAGAAGACUGUUACGGAGCUGAAAUGAUCAGCACAUACAUGAUCCGGACUUUCGGAUCCAGAAAUUGUCGCUCUCUCUCCAGCACUGCCCAGAGGGGAAGGGGAGAGGAUGACUUGACCAAUGAGUCAUAUUACUCUGUGCUCUGGGACAGACUCCCAACAACGGAGACGCAGGCAGGAAGCCUCAUGUUGUAUGUACCCUUGACCAGGUGGUCGCUGUAUUUUGCAUGAAGUAUGAAUUAACUAGACUUAUGGCUGAUACGUCAGUUUCGUAUGGGUUUUGGUUAAGCAAGAGGCAGUUCUAAGCCAACCACUCCUGGUGCUGUAACUCAUCAUUUCUUGCCCUGAGAAGCCCAGGACCAGUCUGGGGGCUCAUCAGGGCAGUACCCCUGGGAACCCAGCCUGCCCAGCUAACUAGCCCCCUCAGUGACACAUCCAGUGUCUCUCUGACUGCAUCCAGAGCCUGUGGAGGGCAAGUGCCCAUCUCAUUACAACACUUGAGUUCAGAGUUGUGACACCAACAUCUGAUACAUCUCAUGUGAUUCAUAACUAUUCAUCAAAAAGCAGUUAUGCUUCAGCUGGUCUUAAAAAGAGACACUCCCAAAGUCCCUCCAGGAAUAAACGUUUGAAGGAGAACCUUCCUGAAUGGACAAAACUAUUUCCAGUGGAGCAAGAAACCUGGAAUCUUGUCUAAGAAAAUGAAAAGAAGUUCCACGUACAUUCACCUUAGAAGGAGAAUGAAACUGAGGAUUCAGGUUCGAUCCCUGGCCUUGCUCAGUAGGUUAAGGAUCCAACGUUGCUGUGAGCUGUGGUGUAGGUUGCAGAUGCUGCUGGGAUCUGGCAUUGCUGUGGUGUGGGCCAGCAGCUGCAGCUCCAAUUUGACCCCAGCCUGGGAAUUUCCAUGUGCCGUGGGUGCAGCCUUAUAAAGACAGACAGACAGACAGACAGACAGAAAGAAAGAAACCCCAGACUUCCAUGACGUGGGCGAGGACUCCAGAUCCCAGGGCACAAAAUUUAAAGAGGCCCCUUGAUCUGUAACACCAGCCAGCUUCAUCAUCUCGCUGAUCACCCCAGGAAAGGAACCACCUGCAGGCUGCCUGGUGGCUCGGAGGUGUCCUGAGUGACCAUACUGCUUCCUACCGGCGCUCUGGGCUGGAUGCUGACAAAGCCAGAUGGGCGGCAGCAGCAUGACCACCCUGGGAACACCUCCCUGGCUUGGUUUUGAGGAGUGGCCAGUCCCCAGCUCUGGCUCCAGCUCCAGCUCCAGGACUGACUGACCACAGCAUUGCAUCCUCCGGCUGCAGGGGAGGGUGCCAAACCAGGUCAGCGAUGCCAGUGGAACUGGCUUCCAGAACUGUUACUGUGAACUGCAAAGAAGUGUUCUUUUUUGCUGCCCUUAUGAAGCUAAGCUUGCCAGGAGCCGCCAUCUGAAGAAGUCAGCCCACAGAAGGGGCAGCCUGGAGAAAAGCAGAGCCAGGCUGCGGGGAGGAAGCCAGGCCUACCUCUCCCCAACAGUGGGUGCGGAGCCCACAGGGCACACACCGCUGGACACCCACUUCUCAGGACAGUGGCGUAGCUGUGUUGAAAGGACCAGCCCUCAUUCUUUCUAGUAUAUACUACGCAAACCUGAACCACGCUUGCUGAAAGGAGACACUUGGAACGCAGUGGCUUCUUAGCAGGUGACAGUUAUUUUGUCAGGACAUGACAAGCGCCUAUCAUCCGGGGGAGGUCCAGCUCUCACUCUCAGGACAAAGUCACAGAUUUCCAAAAGGACCCUGGAAAGGCCUCAGGAAGUUGCCACCCGGGAGAGUGUUUCUCCAAGGCCCUGCGUGUCCAGACUCCCCUCAUGGCAGGACAGACCUCAGCUCCCUCGGGGUUUACGUGAGGGCGCUUGUGGAGAAUCCAUCUCUAAUGCCACAGUCGUGGAGAUCAGGCCACAUGGGCACAUGGCAGCUGAGCCCCUGUGAGAGAAGGACAGGCUUCAGCCACCACCUUGGCCUUCGAGGGCUGUAGCUCACGGACAGAGAGAGUAUGACCUGGCUGUUACAUGUUAUCCUGCACUGUGCCCACCCCCACCCCUCAUUCCCCCACCUCUUUUUUUUCCUUUGUGACCUUUAUUGCUAAAUUCAUUAAGGCACGUGCGCAUCUGGGCAGUUCUGCUGUAUUACCAUCCACUCCCGCUAAGUUAUCACCAUCUAAUCACACCCUGUGUGGAUCAGCACCCCAAUAUCAACUGCCAGGUCGGUCCAUGUGGAGAACACUUUGACAUCUGGAUUGUCUUUUCCCUAGCAUGUGGCGAAAGCUCAAGGGGGCAUUUUCAGAAAGUAUACUCUGUGGUAGUUCUAAAAUAGUCCUUGGAAAACUAUAUGGAGAUGCCUCAAAAAAUUAAAAACAGAACUAGUAAUUAGGAUCCAAAAAUAACGAGCCAGUAAUUCCACUCCUGGGUAUUAUCC
rnacentral:lncRNA from 1 species